UACGUAGGGGGCAAGCGUUGUCCGGAUUUAUUGGGCGUAAAGAGCGUGUAGGCGGCCAGAUAGGUCAGCUGUGAAAACUCGAGGCUCAACCUCGAGAUGUCGGCUGAAACCAUCUGGCUAGAGUCCGGAAGAGGAGAAUGGAAUUCCCGGUGUAGCGGUGAAAUGCGCAGAUAUCGGGAGGAACACCAGUGGCGAAGGCGGCGACCUGGGCCAAUACUGACGCUGAGGUGCGAAAGCGUGGGGAGCAAACAGG
rnacentral:rRNA from 1 species